AACACAAUAAGCACUCCGCCUGGGGAGUACGGUCGCAAGACUGAAACUCAAAGGAAUUGACGGGGACCCGCACAAGCAGCGGAGCAUGUGGUUUAAUUCGAAGCAACGCGAAGAACCUUACCAAGGCUUGACAUCCCCUUGACCGGCACAGAGAUGUGCCCUCUCCUUCGGGAGCAAGGGUGACAGGUGGUGCAUGGUUGUCGUCAGCUCGUGUCGUGAGAUGUUGGGUUAAGUCCCGCAACGAGCGCAACCCUUAUCCUUAGUUGCCAGCAUUUUGGGUGGGCACUCUAAGGAGACUGCCGAUGAUAAAUCGGAGGAAGGUGGGGAUGACGUCAAAUCAUCAUGCCCCUUAUGUCUUGGGCUACACACGUGCUACAAUGGUCGGUACAAAGGGCAGCGAAGGAGUGAUCCGGAGCAAAUCCCAAUAAACCGAUCUCA
rnacentral:rRNA from 1 species